rnacentral:rRNA from 1 species
CCUACGGGACGCACCAGUGGGGAAUAUUGGACAAUGGGCGAAAGCCUGAUCCAGCAAUGCCGCGUGUGUGAAGAAGGUCUUCGGAUUGUAAAGCACUUUCGACGGGGACGAUGAUGACGGUACCCGUAGAAGAAGCCCCGGCUAACUUCGUGCCAGCAGCCGCGGUAAUACGAAGGGGGCUAGCGUUGCUCGGAAUGACUGGGCGUAAAGGGCGCGUAGGCGGUUUAUGCAGUCAGAUGUGAAACCCCCGGGCUUAACCUGGGAACUGCAUUUGAGACGCAUAGACUAGAGGUCGAGAGAGGGUUGUGGAAUUCCCAGUGUAGAGGUGAAAUUCGUAGAUAUUGGGAAGAACACCGGUGGCGAAGGCGGCCCCCUGGACAAAGACUGACGCUCAGGUGCGAAAGCGUGGGGAGCAAACAGGAUUAGAUAC